AAAAUCGUUUCAAGCUUCUAGGCUCUUCUAGCAUAACAAUUGCAAGCACAACCUCUUGUUGCAAGAUACACGAAGGACACACAUACUCAAUCCCAAGCCUUCAUUGAUAGCACAACCUAGACCAUGAUGGACCAAUACCACUCAGUUCAUCAGUGAGCAUCUUGUUGAGUGCAUAAAGGUCUCAUACCACUCAUUUCAUUAACCUAGAUAUGGGGUGUGUCUGAAGCAUAGAUCUUUUUGAUCACUGAGUGACAUGUUAUUGCCAUGGAUGAAUGUCCACUGUCACUCCCUGCAAAUUCACCUUCUGUACCAAAUGUACCAGCCCUUCAAUCCCAAUGUGAUUCUAUUGAGUUGGAAUGGUGAAGGAGAUUCAGACCUUGGUGAUAAGUUGAGGAUUGUAGAAGGGUUUUCUAAUGAUGAAGGAAUUCAAGGUCUAGAUUCCCUGAAUUUAACCAGUUUAUCCAACACACUAACGUGAAGAAUGUACAUCUAACAAAGGGACUCGUAUUUGCAUCACAUGCAGUCUUCAAGGAGGCACUAAAGGAGUGGUGUAGUAGAAAAGUGUAAUUAUUGAUUCGUUUGGUGUUAUUUUUGUGAAACAAUAUACCAUUUGUAAAAACUUACUGAUAUUUCAAUUCAUGGCAAAUUGGAAAA